CCAGUUAAACCCUUCUCUUUCCAUUUCUCCCUCUUUCCCUCUCACAUUUUUGAGGUCCCUCUCUCUCUAAACCUAAUACACCAUACGUCACCAAGUGUAGGGAGUCACCGUCGCCGUCGUCCACACCCAGUACUGCCGUUUCCAUCACCAGUUAUCAUCAACAUUUGAGUUCUCCAGAGGUGGGAAGAAUGUAGUGUGCGAAGAUUACCUUGACAAUAUGAUUGUGUUUUCUGAUGCAUGGUGGAUAGGGUGGAAGGAUGAGAAUCCUGAAGAAGCACGGCUCGAGUUUCCAAAGGAGCUAAAUGUGCAGCAAGAGAAAUUGGAGUGUGAUUUCAAAGGUGGUGCAGGUGCUACAUGCGUUCAAAAACGAAGUAUUAGCGAAUGUGGGGUCAAGCAUAUGGAGCAACAGUCUCCUGAACAUGAACAGGAGGAGAAUUUUGCAGAAAGUCAAAAUGAUUCAAAAGAAGUUAUAGAAUUAACUUCAAGUCGUCGUGCAGCAAGGGCAGCAGGAAAAAAAUUCAACUUUUAUCAGGGGAGUUCAAAGACACUUCAUGGACUGAUUACUGGACCUGCAUAAAGUAAAGCAUAAGAAAGAGUAGGCAUUUAAAAUCAAAUUCAUUCAUAAUAUGUGCCUUUAUAGUCCCGAGGACUGCGGUUAAGGAGCCUUAGUUUGGUACUCAUUCAAGGACCAUCCAAAGAAGUAACUGAACAAGUACUGAUCUUGUUGCAUUGAUUUCUUGAGGGACAAUUUAUCCUUUAUUAACUAAGAUCUAGUUGACUCUGAUGUCUUCCUCUGCUUAAUGCAUUACCAGGAAAUUUAUGUUCAGUAAUUCAGUUUUGCAGAACCAUCUUCCGGGGAUGACUUGGUUGACAAUGUGGUAUGGAUCAUUCAACAAAAAAUUGUACCUCUGGAGUUUUUGUAAAAAUGUAGACUGCAUAUCUGCACAUUAAAAAACCAGUAAAAUUCCCUCUGUUAAUCUGCAAACUGCACUGAGUGAUCUGAGCUGUAGUGAUCCAUUUUUGUAUCACAACAUGUCCAAAAUGAUUAGGAUCAAUGAAACAACUAUUUAAUCCUGCAUAUUUUGUGACCUGCUGCAUAUUGCCUUUAGAUUUCUGCUUCUGUGAACUCUUGGCAUUACUUCAUUGGUCUGCAGUUUUGCAAUUUUUUGUACCACCCUUUGCUUUCAAAUCUGGUUGGAUCUCAUGGUCCUGCUUCUCAUUAGUUGCACCAGGAAAAUGGUCCUUUGUAUAACUGCAUGCACCAACUUCCUGCAGCUGGUUGGUUUCAUCUAGUUUGUAUAUGGAUUGAAGUAAACUAAAAUGUUAAAGCCUUGGCUGGAAUUGACCCAGUCUUCCCCUUAUGUUUUUCCUUUUCUUUUCUCAGUUGUUUGUGCUUGAUUUAGGAGAUCAUUGUGCUGCUGCCUCUAUUGACAGCUUUGACGAUUAGUAGACAGCCUCCUUAAUCUUUAUGCAAAGUCAUCCUUUACAUUGUUCUAGAUAUUUCCACAUAUCUCAACAACUUUAGAUGGAGAUACAAAGUUGUUCUCCUCAUUAGCAAGACUUGCAAGUAUCUCAUUUUGCUGUUGCAAGUUUCCUGAAGUUACUUCAUAACCUACAGGUCUUUUAUUCACUUCUUGGCUACCUUAUUCUGCAUAUCAUCUUGUGCUUGUGUGUCAAUUUUGUCAUGCUCCUGUCCUGUAGUAUCAACAUCAUCCAUUUGUCCAUUUUAAUAUCAUAUGCCAUGCACGUAUUUGGUCUCCUACAAAUAGGCAGGAAAAAGGGCCUUACCUAUUGUUAGAUCAUAUAUGAAAAUGCAUGGAAUCCUUAUCAUAAAGUGUUAAGGUAACCUACCAAAAUGUUCUUAUCCACUUAGAAUUCCAACUGCAAGACAGUAUAUUCUUCCGAACUUUAAAUGUGUUCACAUUAUUCUCUAACAAAUAUGAGUUGAUAAUCUUUAAGAAAGGGAACAAAGUUUAUAAAAUGUCAUAUUUACGCUGAUGGCAUGAGAAAUUAUUUACGCUAGUAUUUUAUAUAACUUAGAUAUAUUAGAAUAUGGACUUACGUUAAUGGGUUAUAGCCUAAAAAAAGAUAGAUAAAAUAAAUGCCUACUAUUAGAUUAUUGUGUGUGCAGAUAAACAAGGCCUAUUAACUAGUAUUGACUUGUAAUGUGGAGAUCCACAACAAAGGUUGAAACAACUGCAGUUGGACAAUAAAUAUGCAAGAACCAAAUACUCUAUUCCUCAUGUCAUAAACAUAGGACUCAACAGCACCAAAUACUUUAUUCCUCAUGUCAUAAACAUAAGACUCAACGGCAUUCUUGUUGUCCUUUGUCUCUUCCAUAACAUGAUCCUGAAGAGCCAUUUCAAAUCCUUUCUCAACAGCCUUCUGAACAUCAGCAGCUGCCAUUGCACCAUAAACAAUCUCUGUCACUGGUACAAAUGUCUUCUUGACCUUUUUCUUGGGAGCUUCAACCUGUAAGAAAAUGAAAACAAUAAAUGCUAAACUUUACCGUCACCUUUGAGCUAACACACUGAAGCAGAAGAAUAUUAGUUAUUACCCCAAGAUUAAUUAAGCACAAAAGCACUACACUGAUGCCCUUUAAGGAUUAAACUACAGUUAAACACUAGGCCAUUCACUGGUUCCUGCAUAUUUUUUGAAGCUGCCACUUGCUUGCAUUUUGAACUAUAGCGUGUUUUAUUUUUGGUAGCCAAAUAGUAUGCUUGAGCUCUUUAUCUUUAUAUGUCAUCUAAGCUUAUUGUAGUUGUAGCCCCAUUGCAUUUGAAUGCAAUGGCUAUAUAUUUGAAUUCUUAAAACCAGAUGAAGAAGGGGGUGUUCUCUUUUUUUUUUUUUUUUUUUGUUGAAAUACAUGGGUAUUCUCUUAUUUUUUAUUUGUUGCACAUCGUAAUUUCUGUCAGCCAUGAAUUAGUAUAUCUUCUAAAGGGAAUUAUACUAUAUUUCCAUCGCUUUUUUAUCACCUCUUUUACUUCAAUGAAGCGACUUUAACUUGACUAGCAUUUUUUUGGUUGCGGAGCCUCCCAAAUAAUGUUGAAAAGAAGGAUAUGGAUUUUUAGCAAAUUAAGAGGAAAAAUGUGUCUGGCGCCCGGAACAUGAGACACAGCUAGCUCAAAACUUCAAGAAGAAAGCUCAGCGCUUACUAUGUUUGAAUGUUAAUGUUGUGGUGGAUUUGUGGAUUGUGUAAGUGUUUUGUGGAUGUUUGCGAGCGGUGAAGUAGUCUAAUGUUGUAGACUAACUUAGUCUAAUGUUGUAGACUAAUUUAGUGUAGAUCUACUAGUUUAAUGUUUUGUGGAUGUUUGCAAAGGUUGUGAAGUAGUUUAAUGUUGUGUAGGUGUUUGCGAAAGUUGAAGUAGCUUAAUGUCUGUUCGGAAUGUUUGAAUGAUGUUUUGAUUCAACUUUGAAGUAGUUUCGAAUUGAAUUUGACGUAUUAUUGGUUGUAAUAUAUGUGGUUGUUGAAGUA